GACGAACCGUGCGAACGUUGUUCGGAAUCACUGGGCUUAAAGGGCGCGUAGGCGGGCGGUCAAGUCUGUGGUGAAAUCCUUCGGCUCAACCGGAGAAUAGCUGGAGAUACUGGCCGUCUCGAGGGGGGUAGGGGCAUGUGGAACUUCCGGUGGAGCGGUGAAAUGCGUUGAUAUCGGAAGGAACGCCGGUGGCGAAAGCGACGGACUGGAUCUCUUCUGACGCUGAGGCGCGAAAGCCAGGGGAGCAAACGGG
rnacentral:rRNA from 1 species